AUCUAGACCGUGAAAGGAAUACCUGGAGAUGUGCUGCAAGAUGUGCAGUUUACCCCACAAGGAACUCUGCAACCUGCAUAAAACAACAUUUAGGGCCUGUUCUUGACUCCUGAUCCCAGCUCUGACCACUAGGCCUGACCCUCCUUGCCUCAGUUUCUGACACCACUGUUUUUCUCUCUUGUCCACCAACACUGACCAGUGGACUGCUUUCUAUCGGAUCCCAAUCCCUUGAUCUGUCCGGCUUGGGGGGCUCUACGAAGAAUUAAAACUGCCACCUGCCUAGCGCUCGGGGCCAUUGGAACACGCAAG